GUGGGGAAUAUUGCACAAUGGGCGCAAGCCUGAUGCAGCCAUGCCGCGUGUGUGAAGAAGGCCUUCGGGUUGUAAAGCACUUUCAGCGGGGAGGAAGGCGUUAAGGUUAAUAACCUUGGCGAUUGACGUUACCCGCAGAAGAAGCACCGGCUAACUCCGUGCCAGCAGCCGCGGUAAUACGGAGGGUGCAAGCGUUAAUCGGAAUUACUGGGCGUAAAGCGCACGCAGGCGGUCUGUCAAGUCGGAUGUGAAAUCCCCGGGCUCAACCUGGGAACUGCAUUCGAAACUGGCAGGCUAGAGUCUUGUAGAGGGGGGUAGAAUUCCAGGUGUAGCGGUGAAAUGCGUAGAGAUC
rnacentral:rRNA from 1 species